CCGUGCAGCCGGGGAGUUAGCGGUGCCCUGUACCUGCAAUCCGCUCUAGCAGGGGUGAUAUCCGGCCUCGGGUUUGUCUUUGUGGGGCAGGCCAUUAUAAGUGGCGAUGACGUUUGGGUCUUACGCAACAGAAAUUUAUGAAUCGUGUCAGGUCAGGAAUGGAGCAGCACUAAGUAAAACCUUCUGUGUGCCGUAAGGUUGCCUGGGCCGAGUUAACUGUAUUGGUAACGCCCAUGAAGCGAAUUCAAAGCCGGAUGCACGG
rnacentral:SRP_RNA from 1 species